rnacentral:rRNA from 1 species
GAUGAAUGCUGGCGGCGUGCUUAACACAUGCAAGUCGAGCGAAGCAUUUUGAAGUCUUCGGACAGAUGAGUGACUGAGCGGCGGACGGGUGAGUAACGCGUGGGUAACCUGCCUCAUACAGGGGGAUAACAGUUAGAAAUGACUGCUAAUACCGCAUAAGCGCACAGUACUGCAUGGUACGGUGUGAAAAACUCCGGUGGUAUGAGAUGGACCCGCGUCUGAUUAGGUAGUUGGUGAGGUAACGGCCCACCAAGCCGACGAUCAGUAGCCGACCUGAGAGGGUGACGGCCACAUUGGGACUGAGACACGGGCCCAAACUCCUACGGGAGGCAGCAGUGGGGAAUAUUGCACAAUGGGGCGAAAGCCUGAUGCAGCGACGCCGCGUGAGCGAAGAA